rnacentral:rRNA from 1 species
CACGCCUGUAAACGAUGGAGUCGCUAGCGCUGUUGGGCGAGCCUUGCCUGUUCUCGGCGCCGCUAAUACUUUAUUCAUCCCCCCUGGGGAGGCGGCCGCAAGAUUGCUCUCCUCAGAAUUGUUGACGGCCGUCCGCACCAGCGGAGGAUGUUGCUGAUUAAUUCGAUGCAACGCGAAGAACCUUACCUGGGUUUGACAUCGCCGGAAAUCCUCCAGAGAUGGGGGGUCCUUCGGGGCCGGUGACAGACAGGUGCUGCAUGGCUGUCGUCAGCUCGUGUCGUGAGAUGUUGGGUUAAGUCCCGCACCA